CUACGCACUCCUACGGGAGGCAGCAGUGGGGAAUAUUGCACAAUGGGCGCAAGCCUGAUGCAGCCAUGCCGCGUGUAUGAAGAAGGCCUUCGGGUUGUAAAGUACUUUCAGCAGUGAGGAAGGUGGGUAUCGUUAAUAGCAUAUUCAUUUGACGUUAGCUGCAGAAGAAGCACCGGCUAACUCCGUGCCAGCAGCCGCGGUAAUACGGAGGGUGCGAGCGUUAAUCGGAAUUACUGGGCGUAAAGCGCAUGCAGGUGGUUUGUUAAGUCAGAUGUGAAAGCCCGGGGCUCAACCUCGGAAUUGCAUUUGAAACUGGCAAACUAGAGUACUGUAGAGGGGGUAGAAUUUCAGGUGUAGCGGUGAAAAUGCGUAGAGAUCUGAAGGAAUACCGGUGGCGAAGGCGGCCCCCUGGACAGAUACUGACACUCAGAUGCGAAAGCGUGGGGAGCAAACAGGAUUAGAUACCCUGGUAG
rnacentral:rRNA from 1 species